rnacentral:rRNA from 1 species
GACGAACGCUGGCGGCGUGCCUAACACAUGCAAGUCGAACGAGGCCCAGGGAAGCUUGCUUCCUGAAGACCUAGUGGCGAACGGGUGAGUAACACGUGAGAAACCUGCCUCGGAGUGGGGAAUAACUCGGGGAAACUCGAGCUAAUACCGCAUACCUUCACAUGAUCGCAUGGUCGAGUGAAGAAAGAAUUUCGCUCUGAGAGGGUCUCGCGGCCUAUCAGCUUGUUGGUGGGGUAACGGCCUACCAAGGCAACGACGGGUAGCUGGUUUGAGAGAACGAUCAGCCACACUGGGACUGAGACACGGCCCAGACUCCUACGGGAGGCAGCAGUGGGGAAUCUUGCGCAAUGGGCGAAAGCCUGACGCAGCAACGCCGCGUGCGGGAUGACGGCCUUCGUGGUUGUAAACCGCUUUCAGCAGGGACGAAAAUAGACGGUACCUGCAGAAGAAGCCCGGCUAACUACGUGCCAGCAGCCGCGGUAAU